rnacentral:lncRNA from 1 species
ACCAACCAAACCAAGGAGAAGGAGAUGCCGAGCGAGCGUGGGACUGGAAUUCGUGCUUGCCAAGCAAGCAACAGGCCUGGGCUGGCCAGAGCGUGCUUGAGUUGAGCUCCACGAUCUGGGCCUGCAUCUCCACGACCGUCUCCUGAGCUGCUGCCUCACUCAGCUUCGCGGGAGAGCCCGGGCAGUUCGAGUGCUGCUGGAACGCUGCUGCUCCGUGAGGAAGGGUCUUCUUCGAGCCGGUCGGGCACUCGGGCGACGGUGACCACAUGAUACCACUGUUCUCUUUGCUCGGUUCUGGUGAUGGUGGUAUCUUCACGAGAAGAUUAGAUGAUGCUUCAGUUGAUUUAGGUAUGGGACUCGAAGGUGCUUGCUUCAUCUCCACUCCACCAUCUGCAUGCCGAAGCCAUCCCUUCACCCCAGUGGCGAAUCUGCACUUCUGCAGUGACUCUACUUCAAGGUACUUAAAUCCCUGUUGUUCAAAAAUUCUUCGAUAGGCACACAGUGGUUUUGUACAUUACUAUAACUCUCAAUUUAAAAAUUCUGCAGUUGAUUUAGAUAUAGGACUUGAAGGUUCUGAUGAGCAGGGGUAUAGGCAACAGAAAAUCACCUGACAAUGGCAGCUAGUUUGUUUGGUCACUAAAACUGUAGAGGUUGGAGUGCAGCUCACAUACCCCAGGCCUCCUUUUGGCUGCAAUUUCGCGCAGUCAGCACUCCACAGCGAAGCAGUUUAAGGAACAUGGAAAGAUGAUACGGCAACGACUGCUAUGCAAGCAGUCCUUCUAUGCAAGCGUGCAAUCAAAUCAUCUGAUCCAUUAGAUUAUGAUCCAACCACAGACACAACUAUAGUUUGUUAGAGGUUUUUUUAUAAAGAUUAUUAAGCUGAUGGUGAAAGGGUUAAAUAUGACCAACGGUUCGAUUACGAUCUAAUGAAUCAGAUUAUUUGUUUGCACACCUGUACAGAACGACUGCUUGCAUAGCAGUCGUUGCCAGAUGAUACGGGUUACACUCCAAAUGGAUAAAUAAACCCAGACCUUUGGCACAAGGGUCUUGCUGCUUGGUCACAAACAGCUGCUUCAAUGUGCACCGAGUCUGACUGAAAGCGUGCUAAGCAAGAUGCCGGUCAGGCAGGCUCCAGUCGCCCGGAAGACGCCGCCUCCACCUGCGCGCCUCCCUGGUCCCUCCCCACGGCCGGAAGGUUCCCCUUUCCCGCGGCCGCUCGCCUCCCGCCGCGUCGACCGUACGCUUCGGAGGCUA